rnacentral:rRNA from 1 species
CCUACGGGUGGCAGCAGUCGAGAAUCAUUCACAAUGGGGGAAACCCUGAUGGUGCGAAGCCGCGUGGGGGAAUGAAGGUCUUCGGAUUGUAAACCCCUGUCAUGUGGGAGCAAAUUAAAAAGAUAGUACCACAAGAGGAAGAGCCGGCUAACUCUGUGCAAGCAGCCGCGGUAAUACAGAGGUCUCAAGCGUUGUUCGGAAUCACUGGGCGUAAAGUGUGCGUAGGCUGUUUCGUAAGUCGUGUGUGAAAGGCGCGGGCUCAACCCGCGGACGGCACAUGAUACUGCGAGACUAGAGUAAUGGAGGGGGAACCGGAAUUCUCGGUGUAGCAGUGAAAUGCGUAGAUAUCGAGAGGAACACUCGUGGCGAAGGCGGGUUCCUGGACAUUAACUGACGCUGAGGCACGAAGGCCAGGGGAGCGAAAGGGAUUAGAUACCCUUGUAGUC